GGUUCAAUAGCUCAGUGGUUACAGCGCUGGUCUAAUAAACCAGAGGUCGCGAGUUCAAUCCUCGCUGGAGCCA
rnacentral:tRNA from 1 species